rnacentral:tRNA from 1 species
GGGGGUAUAGCUCAGUGACAGAGCAUUGCUUGGCAUGCAUGAGGUCCCGGGUUCAAUCCCUAGUGCCUCCG